rnacentral:rRNA from 1 species
GACGAACGCUGGCGGCGUGCUUAACACAUGCAAGUCGAACGGAAAGGCCCUGCUUUUGUGGGGUGCUCGAGUGGCGAACGGGUGAGUAACACGUGAGUAACCUGCCCUUGACUUUGGGAUAACUUCAGGAAACUGGGGCUAAUACCGGAUAGGAGCUCCUGCUGCAUGGUGGGGGUUGGAAAGUUUCGGCGGUUGGGGAUGGACUCGCGGCUUAUCAGCUUGUUGGUGGGGUAGUGGCUUACCAAGGCUUUGACGGGUAGCCGGCCUGAGAGGGUGACCGGCCACAUUGGGACUGAGAUACGGCCCAGACUCCUACGGGAGGCAGCAGUGGGGAAUAUUGCACAAUUGGCGGAAGCCUGAUGCAGCAACGCCGCGUGCGGGAUGACGGCCUUCGGGUUGUAAACCGCUUUCGCCUGUGACGAAGCGUGAGUGACGGUAAUGGGUAAAGAAGCACCGGCUAACUACGUG